rnacentral:rRNA from 1 species
AUAACUAAAGGAGCAAUUCGCUUUGGGAGGGACCUGCGUCCCAUCAGCUAGUUGGUGAGGUAAUGGCUCACCAAGGCUACGACGGGUAGGGGACCUGAGAGGGUGACCCCCCACAAUGGAACUGAAACACGGUCCAUACACCUACGGGUGGCAGCAGUAGGGAAUAUUGCACAAUGGGCGAAAGCCUGAUGCAGCAACGCCGCGUGUGCGAUGAAGGCCCUCGGGUCGUAAAGCACUUUUCUGAGAGAUGAGCAAGGACAGUAUCUCAGGAAUAAGUCUCGGCUAACUACGUGCCAGCAGCCGCGGUAAAACGUAGGAGGCAAGCGUUAUCCGGAUUCACUGGGCGUAAAGCGCGUGCAGGCGGUUCGGUAAGUUGGGUAUGAAAUCUCCUGGCUUAACUAGGAGAGGUUAUCCAAUACUACCGGACUUGAGAGUGGUAGAGGAAGAUGGAAUUCCCGGUGUAGUGGUGAAAUGCGUAGAUAUCGGGAG